rnacentral:misc_RNA from 1 species
GAUGAAGAACGCAGUGAAAUGCGAUAAGUAGUGUGAAUUGCAGAAUUCAGUGAAUCAUCGAAUCUUUGAACGCACAUUGCGCCUUCUAGUAUUCUGGGAGGCAUGCCUGUUUGAGCGUCAUUAAACCUCUCUCAAGUAUGAUUACUUGGAUGUGAAGGAAGAGUACCUUAAACUUAAGGAGUGUUCUCCUUUGAAAUUGAUUAGCAGAUGGUAAUGUUAUUAAAUCCCUGAUGUUGUAAGAAAUAACAGUGGUUUUGUAGACUAUUAUCUAGCUUUAAACUAUAAUUUUUAUUAUGGUUGACCUCAAAUCAGGUAAGGAUACCCGCUGAACUUAAGCAUAUCAAUAAGCGGAGGA